UGAGGCGAUUAAUGACAAGACGCAAGUUGACUCUUAAACGUUCAGCCUUGAACCCAGAGCCCAGCAUGAUUUUUAUUUCCUACAAGGAAAAUACAGGAGCAAUGAGUCAUUUUUAGAAACAGCUUGCUGGUCUGAAAGUCAAAUACAGGCCUGACUCUACACUGAACCACCCAUCAGGCUGCCCCUUCACCAUCCCAGAUGAAAAACUGAGAUGAAACCAUAUGGCGUACAAUUAAAAGAGCUCUAAAUUUGAAAAAAAUGCUGGAAAAAAAAUAUUGUGGACUGUCACCAUUCCCUAUGGAAGUUUAACCAAUACAAAUCUACAGCGACAAAAAAGUACCCAGAAAAUGGUUUGGGCAGCAUAAAACCAAUUUUCUUUGCAAGCAGAAGACAAGGUAGCCAAGGGCCAAUAUAUCCAUCGUAACAGAUGUAGAACCUGCAACCCAGUCAUUUGUGAAAAUGUGUUCUGCUAUAGAGUAUGCUUUGUGUAAGUCCCUUCUCAUGGUUUCAUCCCUGAUAUAGACGUCUAAGUAGGACACUCUCAGAAAUUUUGCUUAAGAGCAUAAACUGACUUGCAAGACUUUUGGAGGGAGAUAAUGGAAGAUUUAUAAACAUUAAUAAUCUAUAAAAUAGCAAAAAGGGGAGAGAAAAAAGAAGUUGGCAAACAGUGUGAUAGAAACUAGGACAACAGAAAAUGGCCUGUAAAUAU